UUUAUGGAGAGUUUGAUCCUGGCUCAGGAUGAACGCUGGCGGCGUGCCUAAUACAUGCAAGUCGAGCGAACGGACGAGAAGCUUGCUUCUCUGAUGUUAGCGGCGGACGGGUGAGUAACACGUGGAUAACCUACCUAUAAGACUGGGAUAACUUCGGGAAACCGGAGCUAAUACCGGAUAAUAUUUUGAACCGCAUGGUUCAAAAGUGAAAGACGGUCUUGCUGUCACUUAUAGAUGGAUCCGCGCUGCAUUAGCUAGUUGGUAAGGUAACGGCUUACCAAGGCAACGAUGCAUAGCCGACCUGAGAGGGUGAUCGGCCACACUGGAACUGAGACACGGUCCAGACUCCUACGGGAGGCAGCAGUAGGGAAUCUUCCGCAAUGGGCGAAAGCCUGACGGAGCAACGCCGCGUGAGUGAUGAAGGUCUUCGGAUCGUAAAACUCUGUUAUUAGGGAAGAACAUAUGUGUAAGUAACUGUGCACAUCUUGACGGUACCUAAUCAGAAAGCCACGGCUAACUACGUGCCAGCAGCCGCGGUAAUACGUAGGUGGCAAGCGUUAUCCGGAAUUAUUGGGCGUAAAGCGCGCGUAGGCGGUUUUUUAAGUCUGAUGUGAAAGCCCACGGCUCAACCGUGGAGGGUCAUUGGAAACUGGAAAACUUGAGUGCAGAAGAGGAAAGUGGAAUUCCAUGUGUAGCGGUGAAAUGCGCAGAGAUAUGGAGGAACACCAGUGGCGAAGGCGACUUUCUGGUCUGUAACUGACGCUGAUGUGCGAAAGCGUGGGGAUCAAACAGGAUUAGAUACCCUGGUAGUCCACGCCGUAAACGAUGAGUGCUAAGUGUUAGGGGGUUUCCGCCCCUUAGUGCUGCAGCUAACGCAUUAAGCACUCCGCCUGGGGAGUACGACCGCAAGGUUGAAACUCAAAGGAAUUGACGGGGACCCGCACAAGCGGUGGAGCAUGUGGUUUAAUUCGAAGCAACGCGAAGAACCUUACCAA
rnacentral:rRNA from 1 species